rnacentral:rRNA from 1 species
GACGAACGCUGGCGGCGUGCUUAACACAUGCAAGUCGAACGGAAAGGCCCUGCUUUUGUGGGGUGCUCGAGUGGCGAACGGGUGAGUAACACGUGAGUAACCUGCCCUUGACUUUGGGAUAACUUCAGGAAACUGGGGCUAAUACCGGAUAGGAGCUCCUGCUGCAUGGUGGGGGUUGGAAAGUUUCGGCGGUUGGGGAUGGACUCGCGGCUUUCAGCUUGUUGGUGGGGGAGUGGCUUACCAAGGCUUUGACGGGUAGCCGGCCUGAGAGGGUGACCGGCCACAUUGGGACUGAGAUACGGCCCAGACUCCUACGGGAGGCAGCAGUGGGGAAUAUUGCACAAUGGGCGGAAGCCUGAUGCAGCAACGCCGCGUGCGGGAUGACGGCCUUCGGGUUGUAAACCGCUUUCGCCUGUGACGAAGCGUGAGUGACGGUAAUGGGUAAAGAAGCACCGGCUAACUACGUG